rnacentral:rRNA from 1 species
UUGGCGAGUGGCGGACGGGUGAGGAAUACAUCGGAAUCUACUCUGUCGUGGGGGAUAACGUAGGGAAACUUACGCUAAUACCGCAUACGACCUACGGGUGAAAGCAGGGGACCUUCGGGCCUUGCGCGAUUGAAUGAGCCGAUGUCGGAUUAGCUAGUUGGCGGGGUAAAGGCCCACCAAGGCGACGAUCCGUAGCUGGUCUGAGAGGAUGAUCAGCCACACUGGAACUGAGACACGGUCCAGACUCCUACGGGAGGCAGCAGUGGGGAAUAUUGGACAAUGGGCGCAAGCCUGAUCCAGCCAUACCGCGUGGGUGAAGAAGGCCUUCGGGUUGUAAAGCCCUUUUGUUUGGGAAAGAAAUCCAGCUGGCUAAUACCCGGUUGGGAUGACGGUACCCAAAGAAUAAGCACCGGCUAAACUUCGUGCCAGCAGCCGCGGUAAUACGAAGGGUGCAAGCGUUUACUCGGAAUUACUGGGCGUAAAGCGUGCGUAGGUGGUCGUUUUAAGUCCGUUUGUGAAAGCCC